UAUGGAUUCCCUAGUAGCGGCGAGCGAAGCGGGAAGAGCUCAAAUUUAUAAUCUGGCACCUUCGGUGUCCGAGUUGUAAUCUCUAGAAGUGUUUUCCGCGUUGGACCGCACACAAGUCUGUUGGAAUACAGCGGCAUAGUGGUGAGACCCCCGUAUAUGGUGCGGACGCCCAACGCUUUGUGAUACACUUUCGAAGAGUCGAGUUGUUUGGGAAUGCAGCUCAAAUUGGGUGGUAAAUUCCAUCUAAAGCUAAAUAUUGGCGAGAGACCGAUAGCGAACAAGUACCGUGAGGGAAAGAUGAAAAGCACUUUGGAAAGAGAGUUAACAGUACGUGAAAUUGUUGGAAGGGAAACGCUUGAAGUCAGACUUGCUUGCCGAGCAAUCGGUUUGCAGGCCAGCAUCAGUUUUCCGGGGUGGAUAAUGGUAGAGAGAAGGUAGCAGUUUCGGCUGUGUUAUAGCUCUUUGCUGGAUACACCUUGGGGGACUGAGGAACGCAGUGUGCCUUACGGCGGAUUUCUCGAGAUCUUCACACUUAGGAUGCUGGUGGAAUGGCUUUAAACGACCCGUCUUGAAACAACGGACCCA
rnacentral:rRNA from 1 species